rnacentral:rRNA from 1 species
UACGUAGGGGGCAAGCGUUUGUCCGGAAUCAUUGGGCGUAAAGCGCGCGUAGGCGGCUCGAUCAGUCUGCUGUGAAAGUCAAAGGCUCAACCUUUGAAUGCCGGUGGAUACUGUCGAGCUAGAGUCCGGAAGAGGCGAGUGGAAUUCCUGGUGUAGCGGUGGAAUGCGCAGAUAUCAGGAGGAACACCAACGGCGAAGGCAGCUCGCUGGGACGGUACUGACGCUAAGGCGCGAAAGCGUGGGGAGCGAACAGG